UACGGAGGGGGCUAGCGUUGUUCGGAAUUACUGGGCGUAAAGCGCACGUAGGCGGACCAGCAAGUUAGGGGUGAAAUCCCGGGGCUCAACCCCGGAACUGCCUUUAAAACUGUUGGUCUGGAGGUCGAGAGAGGUGAGUGGAAUUCCGAGUGUAGAGGUGAAAUUCGUAGAUAUUCGGAGGAACACCAGUGGCGAAGGCGGCUCACUGGCCCGGUACUGACGCUGAGGCGCGAAAGCGUGGGGAGCAAACAGG
rnacentral:rRNA from 1 species